rnacentral:rRNA from 1 species
UACGUAGGAGGCGAGCGUUGCUCGGAAUCACUGGGCGUAAAGCGCACGUAGGCGGAUUGUUAAGUCAGGGGUGAAAUCCUGGAGCUCAACUCCAGAACUGCCUUUGAUACUGGCGAUCUCGAGUCCGGGAGAGGUGAGUGGAACUGCGAGUGUAGAGGUGAAAUUCGUAGAUAUUCGCAAGAACACCAGUGGCGAAGGCGGCUCACUGGCCCGGUACUGACGCUGAGGUGCGAAAGCGUGGGGAGCAAACAGG